AUUGAACGCUGGCGGCAGGCCUAACACAUGCAAGUCGAGCGGAUGAAGGGAGCUUGCUCCUGGAUUCAGCGGCGGACGGGCGAGUAAUGCCUAGGAAUCUGCCUUGUAUUGGGGGAUAACGUCCGUAAACGGGCGCUAAUACCGCAUACGUCCUGAGGUAGAAAGUGGGGGAUCUUCGGACCUCACGCUAUCAGAUGAGCCUAGGUCGCAUUAGCUAGUUGGUGGGGUAACGGCCUACCAAGGCGACGAUCCGUAACUGGUCUGAGAGGAUGAUCAGCCACACUGGAACUGAGACACGGUCCAGACUCCUACGGGAGGCAGCAGUGGGGAAUAUUGGACAAUGGGCGAAAGCCUGAUCCAGCAAUGCCGCGUGUGUGAAGAAGGUCUUCGGAUUGUAAAGCACUUUAAGUUGGGAGGAAGGGAAGUAAGUUAAUACCUUGCUGUUUUGACGUUACCAACAGAAUAAGCAACGGCUAACUUCGUG
rnacentral:rRNA from 1 species